rnacentral:rRNA from 1 species
UACGUAGGUGGCGAGCGUUAUCCGGAAUUACUGGGUGUAAAGGGUGUGUAGGCGGGGAGACAAGUCAGGCGUGAAAACUACAGGCUCAACCUGUAGCGUGCGCUUGAAACUGUUUCUCUUGAGAGUGGGAGAGGUAAAUGGAAUUCCUGGUGUAGUAGUGAAAUGCGUAGAUAUCAGGAGGAACACCGGUGGCGAAGGCGGUUUACUGGACCACAACUGACGCUGAGACACGAAAGCGUGGGGAGCAAACAGG